GAAAGCGUAGGGAGCAAACGGAUUAGAUACCCCGGUAGUCUACGCUGUAAACGAUGGAUACUAGCAGUUUCGGGUAUCGCCCUCGGAGUUGCGAAGCUAACGCGUUAAGUAUCCCACCUGUGUAGUACGGCCGCAAGGCAAAACAUAAAGGAAUUGACGGGGACCCGCACAAGCGGUGGAGCGUGAUCUUUAAUUCGAUGUAAACGAUAAACCUUACCAAGGCUUGACAUCUCGGGAAGGCUUCCGAAAGGAAACUGUGCCUCGGGAACCCGAAGACAGGUGAUGCAUGGCCGUCGUCAGCUCGUGUCGUGAGAUGUUUGUUAAGUCCAUCAACGAGCGCAACCCUUGCAACCAGUUGUAUUUUUCUGGUAGGACUGCCCGGUAACGGGGAGGAAGGAGGGGAUGAUGUCAGGUCAGUAUUUCCCUUACGCCUUGGGCUGAAUCGCGCUACAAUGGCUGGUACAAUGCGAAGCGAAGCAGUGAUGUGAAGCAAAUCGCACAAAGCCAGUCCCAGUUCGGAUAGAAGGCUGAAACUCGCCUUCUUGAAGUCGGAAUCGCUGUAAUCGCAGAUCAGCAUGUUGCGGUGAAUACGUUCCCGGGUCUUGCACACACCGCCCGU
rnacentral:rRNA from 1 species